ACCCCCUGGCAGUGGGCAAGGAGGCAUCUGAUUGGUGGUGUUGCUCUUAUAUCAAUCAGGGGCAAAACAGAUGUACAGUCCUUAGUACAUCCUAGCUUAAUGCCUGUGUCGGUGGCCAGAGCUGUUUCAUGCCUUAGGCACAUAA
rfam:Myotis lucifugus cont2.35564, whole genome shotgun sequence.